ensembl:lincRNA
GCCCUUGGGUCUGCUGAUAAACAGUUCCUCCUUCUGAAGAAUGUUCUUAUUAUGAGACAAUGACUCCAAAAAUGAUAAUAUUGUGUUCCAGGUGCAACUAAGUAAAGAUGUUAUCUUUUGAGCAAAAAUUGCAAAGUCAUACCCCAUGUUUAUAAGCUGAAGAAAUCAGUAAAGCUUUGCUACUUGCCACCAGAGCAGUAGUCUGUCUGUCUCUAUAAGGUGUUCAAGAAGCUGGUCUUCCUCAUUUGGUGCUGAAACUCGGGAACUUCGGAACGGAAGGAACGUCGCUUGCCUCCAAAAGCCGUGGAUAGACGCACCUUCCCCUUGAUGGUUGCCAUACAGGUGUGUAGGCCAUGGCGAAAACCAAGAUGGAAAAUUAAGAAAACAGAUGUCUCAUCUUUCCCUUCAGUGCCACCUCCAGGAACCUCGAAUGAUAACUUCUAUGACAGUACAUGAUCGAAUGCAGCUGAUUGCCCUGUUGAUUAGCAUUAUCUUGAUGUUACAUCGAGGCUGCUCUGCAGAAGUUUAUUGGGCGUAUGUUCCAAAUCCAACUAUAAUUCAUCCUGUCACUUGGGAUGAGACUGUAGAUAUUCCUGUUUAUGUCAAUCAAACCAAAUAUUUAGGAGAGUAUUCUGAUGGUCAUAUAUUACAAUUUCAUGCCUUUUUAAAUUAUUCUGGUAAAUAUGAAGGAUCUUUGUUGUGUUUUGGCAAGAACUUGACUGAAAAUUGUGAACAAGUUAACAUAGAAGAUGAUGGGACAAUAAUUUUAAUGCAGGCAUACAUUGGGCCCUGGACUUUCAUUAUCUGAUA